rnacentral:tRNA from 1 species
GGGGUUAUAGCUCAGUGGUAGAGCACUUACCUAGUGUGUAUGAGGCCUCUAUGUUUGAUCCCA